AGGAGCCCCAGUUAGCAUGCUUUGACUUUUGAGCAUGGAACUGGUGGUUUGUUCUUAUUUGAUAUUAAUAAGAUUAAUUCUGAUUGACUUUUAAUCCAUUUUAACUGAGAUUCUCUUUAACUGUAUUUCUAAUGUGUACACGUUCAAGGUUUUAUCCUCUUCUGGAUGUACUAGGAAAAAGAUGUCUUUGGCUUCAGCUUCCUUGAUAAGCUGCAGAUCUUCUACAAUGGGUUCUGGUGUAGAUCUUGGGAUCUUGGGAACACUGGUCAUGAGGUGGAAACUGAGAGGAAACCAGCAUGAAUUAAAGGCGAACACUACACAAUACACAAAGCUAAUUUAGUGGGCAUUGGAGAGAAGCGGUUAUGGUGUGUGGACACUUGUCUAAGUUUGAUUUCCAGGACAAAGGACUGCAGGAUGAUUUCGUGCUGAGUUUGAUAUUCUGUACAGUCUGGUCUAAAACUGAUGGGGGUUGCAGCUGCACCCCUUCCCUCUCCUCUGGGAUGAUGAUGUCAUGGUCUGGAAGAGUGGAGAGAUUAUUACAAACUGUGGCCAGAAGUCACUCACUUCUUUGUGUUCAUAAGAUUUCACAUAUAAAAUAUUUUGUUCUUUCCAGGUUUGUUGUAGUUUUCUGUCAAGUUGAGCAGCAGAACUGAUUAAUUAUGGUUCUUUGAACGUUCUACCUCAAU